UUAUCUAUUGGCAAUCUUUUUGUGAGAACUUUUGCUUUUGGAAACCAUGAUAUUUUAUCCAACAUGCAUGUAAUUAUGCAAUAAAUAUUUGUUGAGCUCUUUAUGCAAGAGCUGUAUGUAUGCACUGCACAAAGUUUUUUAAAUGUAAAAAUAAAUCAAACUUGGGACUUGACUUUCAGCUGCUUACUAUCUAGCUGUGGAGAUGAUAUAUACAUACAAAAAGCGGGAUUGGGUGGAAAAAUUGUUCUGCAAUAAAAUCUCAACAAACUCCUCAGUCCACAUCGUGGGUAGCUCUGCCACUGAGUGACCCCUGAGAGACAUCUCCAGUUGACUUGAGGGGGCCCAGCCUCUAUACUGGCCUGUUUACCCAGGCAUUCUUUUUUUUUUAAUAAUGGAAUUGUUGGGUGAAAUGGUAGUUCUGUUUUAAGUUCUUUGAGAAAUUGCCACAUUGCUUUCCAUAAUGGCUGG
rnacentral:lncRNA from 1 species